ACUUUGUUUUCUACCUUUCAUUGUCAUUCUUUCCCAUAAAGCGCACCACACUAGCCUCUUUAAAAUGCCACCGUGCAAGUUCUUGGCUCUCUCACUAGUCCCCUAGCUUUUGCCUCAUCAACAGCUGAGCAUUUGCAACUUCAAUCAGAUCAUGGUGGGUGCAUGGCAGGAGCAUCUUCAUGGUUCUUGAGAUCGGGAGCAGCAUAAGCAGUAUGAGGAUGGAGAAGAAUGGCUGUGCUGUUCCUUCUCCUCCUCCUUCUCAAGAACUCUUCAGUUUGUCCAUGCCUUUCAUGGCAUAAUUCCCUGGAUUCCAGAAUCUCUGGGUGGCUUAGGGAGGUAUGAACAAACCGGCAAGUCAUAAAUCGGCAAUAGUGAGCUCCGACUGGAUCUUACUCCUCAGUUUAUCAAAUUUAGUUUCAUUCCCUUGUAACCUUAUUCCAGUUGUUUCAACUUUCUAUUGUUCCCCCUUACAAAGGUCAUUGCAAUUGUAUCUUGUGGAAGCAGAUAAGAAGUUGUCUCGGUGUAAUCUUGUUUUGUGGAGUCAAAUGUUUGCUUGUGUGUUGCUUGGGAAUAUUUUAUCCGAGAUGCUCAUAUUUACCUUGAAAGAUA